rnacentral:rRNA from 1 species
CGGGAAUAAUAACAAGGGGGGCGGCCGAAAACACGUGGGUGACCUGCCCUCCACUUCGGGAUAAGCCUGGGAAACUGGGUCUAAUACCGGAUAUGACCAUGGGAUGCAUGUUCUGUGGUGGAAAGUUUUUCGGUGGGGGAUGGGCCCGCGGUCUAUCAGCUUGUUGGUGGGGUGAUGGCCUACCAAGGCGACGACGGAUAGCCGGCCUGAGAGGGUGAUCGGCCACACUGGGACUGAGACACGGCCCAGACUCCUACGGGAGGCAGCAGUGGGGAAUCUUGCGCAAUGGGCGGAAGCCUGACGCAGCAACGCCGCGUGAGGGAUGACGGCCUUCGGGUUGUAAACCUCUUUCGCGAUCGACGAAGCUCCGGUUUUUGCUGGGGUGACGGUAGGUCGAGAAGAAGCACCGGCCAACUACGUGCCAGCAGCCGCGGUAAUACGUAGGGUGCGAGCGUUGUCCGGAAUUAUUGGGCGUAAAGAGCUCGUAGGCGGUGUGUCGCGUCGGCCGUGAAAACCUGGGGCUUAACUCUGGGCGUGCGGUCGAUACGGGCAUCACUAGAGUUCGGCAGGGGAGACUGGAAUUCCUGGUGUAGCGGU